AUGAAUGACAUCAGCUGUUAUUUCUUGACAUCAACACUUAAUCGCUGUAAGAGCAGUAAUGAAGAGAGUUUGGGGUUAAAACUGUGUUUGAGUUCAUGUUUUAGUUCAGGGUCUCGUGUCUCUGAAACUGCGGGAGGUUUUUGUUCGAGUGAAGACGUGAAAUAUAACACUGUGGUAUUCGGACAAGGAACAAAGCUCAAUGUGAUCGACUUUCCUCUCACUCCUCCUGUUCUGAGUCUCUUGUCUCCGUCCGCUGAGGCUCUGAAGGAGAGUAAAGCUACACUCGUGUGUCUGGCUGAGGAUAUUUCAGUAGCUCUGGUGCACGUCACCUGGUCAGUCAAUGGUCGCUCCGUUACAGAUGGAGUCUGGAGCAGUCCUGCUGAGAAACAACAAGACAAAACCUUCAAAAUGAGCAGCUAUCUGACCAUCGAGUCGUCUGACUGGACGGAUAAUAAAGAUUUCUCUUGUGAAGUGUCAGUGGGAUCAAAAUUCACUAAGAAAAGUAUCUCAGUUUCACAGUGUUGAAAAACUGUCUGAAUGAAAAUGUCAGAUGUUUUGUCUUCAUUGUGAACUGUGUGACUUCAGUACUUCAUAUCUGUCAUUGACUAUGAGCUUAAAUGUUUGGUUUUGAUUCUGCA